GUGGGGAAUAUUGGGCAAUGGGGGAAACCCUGACCCAGCAACGCCGCGUGAAGGAAGAAGGUCUUCGGAUCGUAAACUUCUAUCCUUGGUGAAAAUAAUGAUGGUAGCCAAGAAGGAAGCCCCGGCUAACUACGUGCCAGCAGCCGCGGUAAUACGUAGGGGGCAAGCGUUGUCCGGAAUGAUUGGGCGUAAAGGGCGCGUAGGCGGCCUGGUAAGUCUGGAGUGAAAGUCCUGCUUUUAAGGUGGGAAUUGCUUUGGAUACUGUCGGGCUUGAGUGCAGGAGAGGUAAGUGGAAUUCCCGGUGUAGCGGUGAAAUGCGUAGAGAUCGGGAGGAACACCAGUGGCGAAGGCGACUUACUGGACUGUAACUGACGCUGAGGCGCGAAAGUGUGGGGAGCAAACAGGAUUAGAUACCCGUGUAGUCC
rnacentral:rRNA from 1 species